UUUCUCCCAAGAAUAGGCCGAUAGGCCGCCUUUGAGUGUUUUGGACGAUUUUAUUCCCUUGCUGCCCUUGUUCGGCAGAAAAGCGGGCCGUGACUAACCGGCUUCCGCGGGCGCCGGGCGCGUCUCUGUCCCCUUGGAGUUGACAUUUGCUCACCGUAAACCCCCCGCAGGACAAUUUUCCUCCGACAGGAGGUGUUUGGUAGAGGCGUGGCCGUUGGAGGGCCAGACCCAGCGCUGCGGCUCCUCGUGGUUCCGACUGGCAGGUGCGGAGUGACUGGAAGCUCCGGCCAGCUGAGAGG